rnacentral:rRNA from 1 species
GAUAGAUAUUAAUUUAAAUAUUUAAUCUAAGAAUAUAAGGGUAGAGCUUUAUCAUUCAAUAAUAAAUGAAAUAUAAGUUAAUAAGUAUUUAUUUUGAUAAUUAGGUUUUUUAGUGGCCAUAUUUUUAAAGUGUUUUAACUAAUAUAAUUGAAUAAUUUUAUUUAUUAGAUUUUAUUAAAUUAAUAAUAUGUUUUUUAAAAUGGAUAAAUAUUAGAAAUAAUGAAAAUAUUAGUAGAAUUAAUAUAUGAGAAAAAAGAAAAGUAUUAAAAGUAAAAUAUGAAAAUAGUUAAGAAAAAAAUAGAGGAACUCGGCAAAUAAGGUUCUUGCCUGUUUAACAAAAACAUGUCUCUAUGAAGUUAUAUGAAGUCUGACCUGCCCAUUGAAAUUUAUUAAAAGGCCGCGGUAUAUUAACUGUGCAAAGGUAGCAUAAUUAGUAGUUUUUUAAUUGAAGGCUUGUAUGAAAGGUUGGACAAGGGAUAAGCUGUCUUUAUUUUUAUUUUUGAAUUUGUCUUUUAAGUGAAAAGACUUAAAUAAGUUUAAGGGACGAUAAGACCCUAUAAAUCUUUAUAUUAGUUUAAUUUUAUUUUAAAUUUUAAUGUUUAAAAGAGUAAAGUUAAUAUAGUAUUGUAUUGGGGUGAUAGGAAUAAUUAGUAAACUGUUCGAAGGUAUAAACAAAAAUAUUUGAUUAUAAUUAUUAGUAGAUCCUUAGUGGAGAUUACAAGUUUAAGUUACUUUAGGGAUAACAGCGUUAUUUUUUUUGAGAGUUCUAAUCGAAAAAGAAGUUUGCGACCUCGAUGUUGAAUUAAAAUUUCUUUGUGGUGUAGUAGUUACAAGAGAGAGUCUGUUCGACUUUUAAAAUUUU